CGGGGUGUAGUAUAACGGUAGUACGCACGCAUGGGGUGCGUGUAGCCCGGGUUCAACUCCCGGUAUCCCGACAA
rnacentral:tRNA from 1 species